rnacentral:rRNA from 1 species
GAUGAACGCUGGCGGCGUGCCUAAUACAUGCAAGUCGAGCGAACGGACGAGAAGCUUUCUUCUCUGAUGUUAGCGGCGGACGGGUGAGUAACACGUGGAUAACCUACCUAUAAGACUGGGAUAACUUCGGGAAACCGGAGCUAAUACCGGAUAAUAUUUUGAAUCUCAUGGUUCCAAAGUGAAAGACGGUCUUGCUGUCACUUAUAGAUGGAUCCGCCCUGCAUUAGCUAGUUGGGAAGGUAACGGCUUACCAAGGCAACGAUGCAUAGCCGACCUGAGAGGGAGAUUGGCCAGCCUGGAACUGAGAAACGGUCGCGACUCCUACGGGAGGCAGCAGUAGGGAAUCUUCCGCAAUGGGGGAGAGCCGGAUGGAGCAAAGCCGCGUGAGGGAUGAAGGUGUUCGGAUGGUAAAACUCUGUUAUUAGGGAAGAACAAAUGUGUAAUUACCUGUGCACAUCUUGACGGUACCUAAUCAGAAAGCCACGGCUAACUACGUG